UAAAAAUAGUGUAAGAAUAUUUGUUAUCAGUUAUACAUUUGUGAAAUGGCUAAGCAUACAAGUUGUUUCCUUGAGUUACUCACCCUUGGUCUGACUAUUGUAUCUAAAAAUUCU